rnacentral:misc_RNA from 1 species
ACUGUUUCUCAUUGAAGAUCUGUAUUGUUCUAGAGUGCAUAUCUGACAGUGAUCAGUUGUUCAGGGGCUACGGAGGUCCUAAGCAUGAAGUUGUUCAUCUUUGUGAAGAAAAAGCAGUGUAUUUUUCCGUUCAAGUCAGGUAAUUGUGUUCCAGUUUGAUCAAGUGUGAUCCAAAGACGGCUAUAGUUUUCUAAAUUAUGGUGCUCAUUGUCAAAUACUGGUACAAUCAGUUGCUGGAUUUAUA